ensembl:lncRNA
GCCGCGGUCUCUCUGGACAAGGCAAGAUUUUGCAUAUUCAAAACUAAAAAUCAUCCGUGAGCCAACAGCAAUCUCCCCUCUCUGGACUCCCCCUUCCCCCAUCACAAAGCAAAAUGAAAAAGAACAACAAGUGGUGAUACGGGGUAAGGAACGCGACCCCGACGCCAAGCCGAAAUUUGACACAUGUCACACCCGCCCCGGCGCGCCGAGCGCUGCGGCUGGGGAGAAACUUUGCCGCCGACGCCACUGGAGGAGCGCGGAGCAAAGUCGCAGCCCGGCCCGGCGUGGAGGUGGCUGGGACGGGGUGGGGUGCGGAGGUGCAGCGCGCCAGAGUGAGGGUGAAGAAACUUACCGCGACGAGGGACGCCUGGGCAGCGUCCCGGGAGGUGGCACCCGCGGCGCUGAGGCAGAAGCCCCCAAACAACACACCCACGCGCAAGUCCCGGCAGCUGCUGCCGCGAGUGGGGGGCGCGCCCGGGGGGGGCUGGAGGAAGCCGAAGCCGGCGGCCGCGGUCGCCGCAUAAAUAACCGGGACGGGCGCUCGCGGGCGGGCUGCGGGUGGCGCGGGGCUCCAGCCGGGGCGCAGCGGCCGCCGCGGAGCUGCACGCGCCGGCGUGUCUCGCGCUUUCUCGGAGGCUCGCGCUGUCUCGCGCUGCCGCUCCCCCCACCCGGAUCUGUGUGUGUGUCUGUAUGUGUGUGUGUCUAUGUGUGUGAGUGUGCGCUGGCGGGCGCGCGCACCCGGCCGCGCGCGCGUGUUGUUGGCAAUGCAAACUGUACACACACUGCGCGCGGAGCCGCCUCUCCUCGGAGGGGCGGGGUGGGGGAAGGAACGUCUCAGAGGAUUCUAAAGUACUGCUGGGCCACUUGUUUGUUUUUGUUUUACUUUGCCUUGUUAUUGUUGAUUGUUGUUGUUGAUGCCCAAAGUGGUUUGAAACCAGCCGGUUAGGAUGCCUGUCGCCCCCAUCCAGCGAUCUCCCCUGGUCCCCCAACUUCUUUAAGGGAGGGGGAAACGCGGAGCAGAAUAUUGCUCGGAUUUCCAGUGGAGCCUCCUGGCUGACGUCAGGUCCACCUGCUAUGUAAACAACUCGCUGGCGAACUUGUUUGUUCGGCGCCAGAUCUUCCCCCACCCCCACCCUUCUCCCCACCUCCUGCUCCGCCUCCUCCCGCUCGGCCCAGACGGCGAGCCGAGGGAGGGGGUGGGGAGAGAGGAGAGAAGAAAACCGUAUGCUGUAUUGGCAAAGCCGAGUUGUGUCUGCUGCUUCUUGGCAGUCCCCAAAGUACGUCCUCUCAGCAGACGGAGCUGCUGGCAAAUGAAACAGGGGAUUCCACGUGAAGUGCAGAAAGCCUCGAAGGAAUGCAAAGCCCUCGGUGGCAGGGAGCUAAAGUACAUGGUAGUCAGAGAGGGAGACCCAAGCGUGCGUUAAAACGCUGAUUGGCCUUUCUUUUCACCGUGUGCACCUCUGCGGCCUGGGGUGGAGGGAGGCCGAGUGUCUUUCUCACUCUUCAUUGUUGUCGUGGCUCCUGUCUCACUUGGGCCCGGGAGUUCUUGGGCUUCCUCGUGGUUGCGCAGCCCGGGUGACCGGCCUGGGGCCGGGCUGCAGAGCUUGGAAGGAAGGGGCCGCCGAGCCGGGACUCGUAGGCUCUGAGGCUUUCGUGAUGGGCCCUAUCAAUGACUGAGGGGAGCAAAAGUAACCGGAAUGGAAUGAAAGAAGAAACUGACAGAGCCUGCUCUGCGCGCACUUCAAAGCCGAGGCGCCAGCCCGGGGGAUGCGCGGGCCCAGCCUCCCGCAUCUGGGUCCCCUCUGCUGUCGGUGGGGUGUCACCUGGCCAGCGGGCCCACGCGGGAUCGAGGGGAUGACGAGGGAAAGGCAGAGGGAGGACGAGACGGGCACGGAUGGGACGCGUGACCCGAGCGACGGGUUGCUCGGUAGCCCUUCCCCACACCCGCUCGGGGCGAGCGGUGCCUCCCGCCGUCUCGCGUCUUCCCGGCCCGCUGGCCAGCGACCCUCUGCCGGCCGCGUUCCCGCGCGCCGCCGCACGGUUCGCAGAUCAGUGGCGGAGCGUGGCGUUCCGAAGGCGCUGAAACUUUCCUCCAAAGAGCUGCCGCCGAGAGGCCGUUGAGAACAGAGGCCAGCCCCUGGCUGCUUCUCGGCCAACUUUAACAUCUCCAGUGGCACCGGGGCGGUGGGGGUGACUGGGAGAUGGGCGCGCUGCACUAACUUCUGCCUUUGAGCCUUUCUUUUCCUCAAAGAGCAGCGCGCCCUUUCUCUAAAGGGCAGGCGCGAGCUCACACACUCACUUGGCACCAACUCUCCCUGCAGAACCCGCGGUUCUCCGGGGGAGGAAGCAGCCCUGGCACCCACAUCUGUAAACACACCGUCAGGUUUUCUAGGGAAACCAAUUAAGUCAAUAAGCCACGGGGCCGGACCUGGGAAGACGGCCCCUGCCUGCCAGGAAGACGAGGAAGAGGUCGAGCUGGGCUCUGAAUUGCGGUGCUUUCUCUGAGCUUUUAAACUCCAGGCAGUCCUUAAGUGCUCUGCUUAUGGAUUGCGUCCUCUUUUAAAUUCUCUUUUUCGAAAUGCACGCUGAAUAGUGGACAAAUAAUCCGUUUUUUUAAACAAAUGGGAGCGGGGAGAGGAGGAUGGAGCAGUCCUUAAAAUUAGAGGACGCCAGACCCAAAUGACCCCACCGCGCCCUUCUGAAAGGUGGGGAUAAUUUUAUGUUAAGUAAUUUGCGUUUAUGCUUCACUGGCAAACCUAAAUAAAAAGCGGAUUCUCUGAAGUAACCUGAAACUAUUUUGAAAAGGAGAAGAACAAACGGCGUCGAAAUCCUUGGAGAGCCCACGAUAUACCUUUCCACAAGGUUUGUUAAUAAAGGUAACAGAACAGUCGGAAGGUCUACACGUUCUCCCUUUUUUCCUUCUUUCUCCGCCGUAUACACCGACCCCACUUACUUCCCUUUCUCUCUAGGGGUCCCGAGGAAGUGAGCGGGAAAGGUUUAUUAUAAAGGAGUCUGGGCCACUUGCAAGAGAAGUUCAAGUUCCCAACGAAGAGAAAGAGGGUUACAUUCUCAAGACUUGGAGAAGCGGGUUUAGUUAGCCUUCCUCUUUUCUAUACACAAAGACACGUUUUGGUGAAAUUCGCAGCCUCUGACGUUUCUUUCCUGUGAGUACAAAUAGCCAGGCGCCAAGAGGUGCAAAAGGAUAUCACAGUCGGAGGAGCACAUCUUUCUAAAUUGGCAGCGGACCCUUGCCAGGCGUCUUUCCUAAGCCGGGCUGAGCCUGCAGCCCCCUUGCGCCCCCGCUUAACUUGGCCCCCUUUAUCUCGUCUUCACCGCUGCCACUCCCCGGGCCACCAACCCUUCCCGCAGGGAAGACGCCCAGGGAGUUGAGAAAGCAGGUCCUCCCAGGAGCCGGCCCUCGGCGGACCCCUCGCCCGCAGCCAAUGGGCUGGGCCCGGGUUCGAGAGGUGAAAGUUCAGGCCCGGGGCUCGCCGCUCGCUCCCCCUCUCAGGUCGCCUCCCUCCCAGCCCCCGCCCCUGGCCACGCUGCAGACACAGUCCGGCUACCAGGGGCUGCCACGGUGGCACGUAGUUUGUUGAUGGGUGGUCAUAAAAUAUAUUUAUUUGCAAUUCCUUUAACUCGCCCACCACCCCCGCCCCAGCAUGGCCCCGAACACUGCGGGCUUUGUUCGCCUCGCUGCUGCUGGAGCCGGCCGGGGUUUAGCGCUCUGUGCGAACAGACUCCAAAAAAAGUUGAACUGUAAUAAUAGGAAAACCGGGUUUCCGCAGCCGAGGAAAAUGUUGAAAGGGCAAACAGUGAACGAAUAGUUUUCUUUAGCACAAGUCACUGGUCAGCCCACCAGAUCACGGCAGCCUUGAAACGAAACACUGCAUAUCAGAGAGAGGGGAAAAGCCAAAUUCUGUCCCUGUAGUCGCUGCGCAGGGUCGGAGCCUCAGCUCCAGUCUCCUUUGCUGCACGUGGGUCUGCAAAAGUCAUUUACAGUGGUUUCAGGGGAAGGUUAAACGGGGCUACUGGGUAAUUGAGGAGUUUCACCAAGUGGACCUCGAAGUUCUCUCACAAAAGUUUAUUUGAUAUCAAGUUUAUUUUACGAUGAAACUACAAAUCAACAAAUUCCAAGAUACUGCUCCAUCACCGUCCAGGCGAAAGAUAAAUUCGUUUGAAAUGGUCUCUGCCAGUGCAACUAGCGCGGAAUAAGCCACCCCAAACGAGACUUUCUAAAGCCAGGAUGAAGGAAAGCAAUGUAUGCGAAUGAGGCGUCUUACAACCGUCGGUUUCAUGCUUCUCUGAGUGAACCGCUUGGAUUUUUAGUUAUUUGUUAUAAGAUAUCAUUAUUCACACACUUACAUCUGUUUUCUCCAAAACUUUCAGUUAAACAACAAUUACAUUUUUCUUCUUCAGAGCCGUUUUAAUGGUGUAAUUGUGACUAAUACUUCAAAUUUAGCUGAUCUGUUGGAGAGAUGCUAGGAGAGAGGGAAAGGGGCAGGGUUUUUUUGUUUUUUGUUUUUUUUUAAAUUUCCUGUUAGAGACACCAUCUUCAAAGUUGUAUUACUCACUUCAAAUAGGCUGUGAGAAAAGUCGUCUUUAAAUGCGAGGUAAAAUUUUUUUCUUUCACGCAGAAGAACGGGCACAUAUCAGGUUCCUAUUUUUCGCAUCCACUACGGUUUUCCGAAGAUAAGCAAAUAAACAGACUCCUUUUAGACAUUCUCCUAUCCCUACUCUCCUCUUAGACACAUUUUAGGAAAAAGAGAAUAUUCGAGUUUCACCGAAGUCGAAUCAAGGGUUAUCUCUGUUAGAACGUCAAGUUGAAUGUUGAGGUUGCAGAAUUGAUGGAGUUACACCACCAUCUGUCGUUAAGCUUCGGGACUACAAAAUUUGGGACCUAUAAUAAAUCUUAAUGAGCUUUCCCAACUUUUUUUUAAUCACGGAUUAGACUUUUCAUUUGUAUUUUUCUAGCAUAUACCCUAAAUUUACCUGGAUCCUCACACAGCAACUAUGUGCUCAUAAACUCAUCCUUCUGUCUGGGUUCUCUAGUCAUCUCAUCUUCAGAAAAAAAUAAAUACCCUACAUCGGCAAGCCUGCCGUUUAUAAAGCCUUUUCAAAUCAGCUAUGGGACUGCAGAUUUCCAUUAUUUCUCCCUCCUUCCAUGGCUUCUAGAAGGCUGCUGACAGGAAAGAUGGAGCCUGGACUACAGGGGCCACCCCUGUCCUGGAGUGAAUAACAGACUCAAUUCUCUCUUACCUAGUUCUUUGUUAGUAUGUCUAAUCUUGAAACAUGUAAACACAGCAUAUCUCUGCUAAGAGAUUGGCUGUGAGUGUCUUAAAAUUUUGAUUGAAAGGCAGUUAAUAUCAGGUUCCAGUUCUCCUUGGUCUUGCUGCAGAGACAGAGAGCAAUUGCUCUGGGAUAGAAUCUUGCCAAGGAAGGCAUUAUCCAAAUGAAUAUGGAAAGAGGUCAGCUACUGGAUAAAGAGUUCCAAUACUGACUCAGAAGCUCCAUCAGCCAGUGAGGACUCCAACUUUUUUUUCACACAACACUCCAGUGGCAUAGUAUUUAUAUCAGAUCUAUUUUUUUAAGGAUCUCAAAAUAUCAUACUACAUUGUUGCCCCCUUUCCAUGUUGGGCACUUUACCGAGUUUCUAUUUUCCGGAAAAUAAUUCACUAGAAUGAAGUAUACCAGCUUGCCUGUGUUGGUAAGGCAUUCAUUAGAAUUAAUCAUGUUAAGUUGAAUCACACUAAAUUGUCUAUAUUUGACCGACUUUGACCCACACAAAUAAUCAUUUCAUGUGCUUCAAAUUAAUAGAACCCAGAUUUUUCCAAGAUACAUUCUGUCCCUGUCAGAGUAGCACAGUUAAAUUCUCCAAUCCCUGAUAUUAACUUCCUGCCACAUUGAGGCCAACAUGUCGAAUUACCUGAUACAAGAGCCCUUUGCUUGUUGACAUUUCUGCUGUUAAAUUAGUCUUACAGUUUGUAUGUCUCUGAGUAACUAUGAGAUUUUAGAGCUGAAGGAAACUUCGAGAUAUUCUGGUCCAGGCCAUUCAUUUAAAAAAAAAUCAUAAAGCAAAGAUACGAAGAUGAGAGCAAGAUCACACAGCUAGUUGGUAAAACUCUGUGUUAUUAUUACUAUUAUUAUAGAACAAUUUCAUGUUUCUAAACAUACAAUAGUCCUCCUUCUUACUCCACAGAAGGCGUUUUUGCCACACGCACACCCAUCUCUUUACAUUUUCUUCACAUCCAUCAAAACUGAUACGGUUCAGCGAUGGUGACACCUUUGGAUGUCAGUACAGUAUUGAAGAUGGUUAACUGUCAUGUCAUGUCCUCUGUAGUACACAGGAGAAAAAAAGGCUGAUGACUUGUUUCCCUUGAAAGUCAAUUAAAGUCUACAAGAUUUCUUCAGUAGUGUAAAGAGGUUCAUCACCGUUGAUUACAAGUAUUCAUCAUGGAAAACUAAUGGCAAGAGGUGCUAACACAAUCCACAAUUUAUGAUGUUUUUCAGGGUUGAUGAUCUUCAGGGACUCCUAGAGGGCAAAACCCAUAAUAUCAGUGGAAACUUGCCUUCACUACACUCUUAAGAAAUAAAGGCUAACACAAGGCUAUGAGAGAAAAUACGAUCGAUUUUUUUUUUUAAGCUAUGAGCAAAAAUGAACUAUAUCAAGAUCCUGCAUCAGUGUAGAUUUUUAUUUUAUUUUAUUUUAUUUUCGAUGAGGAAGAUUGACCCUGAGCUAACAUCUGUGCCAGUCUUCCUCUAUUUUAUAUGUAGGACACCACUACCAUCAGCAUGGCUUGAUGAGUGGUGUGCAGUUCUGCCCCCAGGAUCCGAACCUGCAAACCCUGGGCCGCUGAAGCAGAGCAUACGAACUCAACCACUGCACCACUGGGCUGCCCCAGUGUAGAUUUUUAUUUUGGUGUAAUAGCCAUAGUAGUUUGCCCACAGAAUGUAUUGAAGUGGUUAAUUGUAACAAAUCAAAGUUCAGUCAUUUGCCUUGUGCUCCUUCUCCUUCUGCUCUCCCUCCUUCUUCAUACUUUCCUUCUGUAUCUCCUUCUCCUCCUUUCCUCUUCCUUUUUCUUCCCUCUGCCAUGAUCUUCAUUACCACUCUCACAAGGACAACUUCCAAAAUUCCCCAUAGACGUUUCUUUCCUAAGCUCCAGAUCUGUUAAUCUAAUUGCUUGUUCAUAGCACCAUUUGAACUGUGAAAAGCUACCAACUUGCCCUCUUCUCUUUGGCCAGCUACUUCUUAUGCCACCUGGUUAAUGGCUAAGGGAACCUAAAUUCACCCAGUUCCUAAAACCAAAAACAUCCAAGUUAUAUGUGCCACUUUCUCCAUCUUCUUACAUCCAUGCAGCAUUAGGUUUUUUUCAUUGAUAUCUAUUUAAUCUUCCAUUGUCCUUUUCCAUCUAUCUGCAUUUCAUACUUGGUCAUUCUUGAUAACUUUCUAAUCACCUUCCCUACUUUGUUUCUCUUUGUUCCAGUUCAUCCUCCUCACUGCUUUCUAAAACACAUGUCACUUAGCAUUAGGCCAACCUUCCCUGUAGCCAAUGGAGUUGAACCUAAGUUCUCUAGUCUGAUACUGCAAAUAUAUCUGACAAAUAUGAGACAUUUAAUAAUCUUUUUUGGGGUGAAUGAAUGUCAUGUCCCAGAUAAAUGUAUUUUAGAUGUUAAAUAUAUUCCAUCAGAACUUUGUCAGAUAUAUUUUUUUGCUAAGUAUCAUUUUCAGCAAAUCUUUGUCUACUUUGCUACCCAAUCAUCUGGCUAAAAUAGUUAUAACUGAAGAUUUUCAUUAUUUUUUCAUAUGAAAGAACUUAGCAGGUAGAUAUAAAAUUCUAUUCAAUCCAGCACUCAAAUUCCCAACUGCAUUAUUUAAUGGCUCAACAAAUAUUUAUAUGUGAAGCACUGUGGUAGGUAUUCUGAGAAUUACAGAUGUAUAAGAUUAGGUCCCUGCCCAGAGCUUACAUUCUAGUGAGAGAUAUGAGAUAUCUAAGUCAAUUAUUUCAAUAAAACAUGAAUUUCAAUAAAGCACAAGAUAGAGGUAUAUUCAGGAUAGAAUGAAACCAGGGAAAAUAUUUCUUAUGGCUACAAUAAACAAGUAACACAGCCCUGUUUUUUCGUUUGUCAUGAUAACUUAAAAAAUAAAUCUAAGAAUACAUCUUUCAAUCAAAAAUUUAUAAUUCAUCAAAUAUCAGCUUCAGAAAACUUAAACUCUUUGGACAAAAGCACAAAUUUGUGGUAAAAAACAUGCUUAUAUCAAAGACAAUGGUAGGUUUAACAACCGUGAAGAGGUAUCAAGCAGUCCCCUGAAUUACAUCAUGUUACCCUUAAAUCUUUUAUAAAAAGAUUACUUCUAAUUUCUCAUGAUUUCACCACAGGACAAGAGUUUUAUAAUAGAAAGGAAAAGUAACAGAAAGUAAAAAGAGCUGAAAGGAGAGUAAGAGAACAUAAAUGGUCUGAGCUUAGGAAGGUAUUCACAUUUUCCUCUCACCAUCCUCUCUAACUCUCAAGCAGGGAAAGCAAGUUAUCCUGGGCCCGUAUAGUCUCCUAGGGACAGUCUUAGGAAAUUUCAUUCCUCAGUUUUUUCCUCCACCAGUCUCCUUUUUUUGUCCCGUCAAGGUGCUUGCUGGUUUCCUUGUACUCCUUCUUUCUUAGAACCACUCUCACCUCAGCAAACAUAGCAUUAGGCAAUACUUUCUCAGUUAUAUAUUACCUCCUCUCUAAAUUCUUUCCUUUCCCUUCCUCUUCUGAUUCUUUUUCAUUUAACUCAGGAAAACAUUUCUCACUAAUUCUGUUUCUGCCUCUUUUUCUCUCUUGUCCAAGAAAACACACAUGUACACACGUGCACACACACACAAUCGUAGUUGCUGUGUUUAAGAGCAGAGCUAGUGAUGUAAGAAAUCGAGGAACAAAGAAACUGAUAUGAAAAUAGAAAAAAAUUUAAAACCAGUGCUAUUAGCUUCUAAAACCUUGAAAAUCCACAGAUAAAGGCACAGUGAAACAAACUCAUACUCCUCUGUGAGUUAAAUUGAUACAAUCCAAUUGGAAAGCAAUUUGGCAACUUGUGUUAAGGCGUUUUAAAUUAAUCCCAUAGCUGGAUUGCAAUCCAAAAGAAAUUUUCUGAAAUACAGAUGGAAAAGCUUUGUGCAAAAGUGUUUUAUCAUAGAAUUAUUUACAAUAGUACAUAUUUGGACACAAUAUAGAAAGUCAACAUUGUGUUAUAUUGUCUAACCACUAAAAUAAUAUUUAUAGGAUGUUUUAAUAACAUAUAAAAUGCUUUUGUUAUAUUAUUUGGUGGAACAAUAGUUUAUAAAAAUGUAACUAAAGAAGACCAGAAAGAAACAUAUCAUUGUGAUACUACCCUUCGAGGUGGCCCGCAGUGAUCCCUACCUCCUGGUAGUCACAUCUUUGUAUAGUUCCCUCCUACAUUAUACCAGACUCCAUCUAUAAGGCACAGGUUAUAAAAGACUGUGGCUUCUGUCAAGGGCUCUGGAUCUAUCUCUUAGAUCAUUUGCUUGGGCAAGAAGCCAUGUUAUGAGCAGCCCCAUGGAGAAGCCUACGUGGUGACGAAGGGCUGUCUUCAGCCAACAGCCAGGGAAGAACUGAAGCCUGCCCAAAACCAUGUGAGUGAAUUUGGAAGCAAUUUCUUCUUUCCCAACUGAAUCUUCUUGAGAUGACUACAACCCUGGCCAACAGCUUGAUUACAACCUCAUGAGAGAAUCUGAGCAAGAGCCACUCUGCUAAGCCACUCCUGGAUUCCUGACUUUGACAAACUGUGAGCUAAAAACUGUUGAUUAGCAUAAAGCUGUAAAGUUUUCGAGGGUAAUUUGUUACACGGCACUAGAUAACCAAUACAAACAUGAUAAAGAUUAUAUUUAAGUAGCAGAAUUUCAGGUGCUUUUUUUUUCCUUUCUGCUUUUCAUAUUUUAAAAUCCUCUGCAAUGAAGCUUUAUUACUUUAUAAUUGGAAAAAAAUUUAAGUAAUAUCUUAAAAUAUAUGUUUGAAAAAGCAAUGCCUUUUAGAAUUGCCACAAAUUUAGUACCCCUGAUCAACAUCCUCUAAUAAAACUGGAUUUAUUCCAAGCAUAGUAUGUAACUUAAAUAUAAAAUUACAUUUCAGUUUUACUUUGUAUUUUAUUUACCAGAGUAAUAUUCUAUAUUUUGUUAAUACGAAUAAAAAUAUGGUAAGUGCAUUUCGUGUACCACCAGGGUAUCUGAACACCAUUUACAACAUUGUUUCUGAGAAAAUGCAUUCCAAGUUUUAGACAACUCACUUGCAACAUAAUCUCUUUUAACUUGGCAUCUUCCUGUAUAUGCCAAUCAAAAAAUCAUAAGAAAAAGACUUUUUGAGCUUUUAUUACAUUGAACAGGAUAACUGUUAAAGUGUUUUCAGUCUUACUCCAAGUAAAUGAAUAAGAACAAACUGUGAACUGAUAAGGUGAGACUAGAUUCUCACUUCAUAUUUGAUGAUAAGAAACAACCAUUGUCUCUUGAGGUUUUCCUAAUUAGGUUAUAGCACAGUUACAGUAGUUGAGUAGAGAAGGUCAAAGCAAGUUCAAAAUUAGUUUAGCAAGUCAAUAAAUAUGUUUUUAUUGAAUUACAAUAAACAUGCUGAAACAAAUGGGUUGCCUAAACUGUUAAUAAUUAUGCCUUUUGUCUUCAUAUUAUAAAAACUCAAAAUAACAAUUUUAUGCUCAGUUGGUUUUUAAAAUGUUUAAGUCAUAGAAAACCAUAGAAAGCCAUUUCUGGAUUCUGAUAAUAUUUUUUAUAUAAUCAAUUUUGAUAAUAUCUAGAUUGCCUUGUGGAUUUGGAUAAGUUGAUAAAAUAUGUACAUAAAAUAAUUUUCAUAACAUAGGAAUGUACAAUGUGGGUAUAUUAAUUAGUUAUUUUGAUAAUAUUCUUUGAGUAGCUAUGAACACCCAAUGCAUUGUUGAGUUUACUUAAGUAAACUAUUAUACAGAAUAUUAUUACUGUGUUCAUGAUCAUAAAUAAAUAUGAUUCCUCCCAUAAGAAUAUUUCAUAUGUAUUAGACAGACAAAUUUCUGCUAAAGCAAGAUUUCAUUUCCUUAUCCAAAGAUUCUCACAUUUUCUGACUUAUUUUUUGAAGUUAAAAACUCUUUUCAUUACUUCUAUGAUCCUUUGUCCAUUAUGUUGUUGAUUCAUCUUCUAUAACAAUCCUUUUUUCCACCUCCUCACUAAAUUCUGUGAAUCAGGAUCAAAGACAAAGAUGUCUGAACUGGUGAAAGAAAUGUAUGAUAUUUUAACCAAUUGAAGAAAACUCACUGAUAUCUUCCAUGGUUUUUUCAAAAAACUAGGUCAUUAAGGAUCAUAAAUCAUAAAGUAUCUUUGCUACAAAAAAAUUGAGUAUCUGUUAAGCAAAAAUCUGUGUUCAUUAGUCCAUGAUCUUAUAUGCAAUCAAGUUUAGGGAAUUUAUUUUUAGAUAAGAGAUAUGAAAACUCUAUGUUGGGACAUAAUAAUAUUAGGGAAAGGACUUCUAAAAUUGAAAGUAAUUUGACCUCUAAAAUGUGGUAAGAUGAGCUCUACCUUGCAGAUUUUAGCAGAGAAAUGUGGUGAACAAAUGUAAGACUUUCAAAGGACAGGAAGUUCAUACAGCUGUUUGUGAGAAUUAGAUAAACUGUGGUCAUAAAAUAAAGACCCUUUUACUUCCUGAAUUCAACUAGCUCAAUUCAUUUCAGCAAAUAUUGAGUCCACAUUAUUUGUCUGUCAAUAUUUAAUAUCUUAGAAUCGUUAUCUUAGGUUAGAUGGGGACUUGGAGGUCACCUAAUCCAAGAUUCUUCCCAAAGAAGGAAUUGGGUAUGGAUUUUGCUAUGAAGUGGUAUUUCUUAGAAUCUUUUCCUCAAGAGUAGUCAGGAAAGAGAGUCUAAAGGUGACUGGGUAUCUAAGCUCUUUCCAAAAUUCUUGCAUUUCAGAGUAAAUGUCCUCAGUGCUUUUCUUGACUGCGUGUUGAGCAGUUUACCUUUGGAAAUUUGUAGCCUAAACUGAAGCAGGACAUGCUUGUUUCUUGGAAGACUGUCCUUCCUGCUUCCCCCUAGGCAAACCUAUAUUUCCUCCUGUCAGCUGCCGAAAGGUUUACUAAAGGUACAUACUAGAGCUAACUCUUGAUUCCUCUAGUGUGGAGUCUGAGUCAAACUUCCCUUAGGAGAUCUUGCUUUUGCAUUGCCUCCUUGUUAUUGGCUUUGGAUACAGCAUUGGAUAUAUUCUUGCUUAGCAGCCAUCCUUAACUUUACCCUGAUUAUCUGAAGGCAGCCCUUAAUUCUACCACAAUCCACUUCAUCAAGCAUUUGAUGUCUCAUCUUUGAUGAGAAGUCAUCAAAGAUUCAUCAAAUGUCAAGAACUGAUUCAGCUGGAAGAGAUAACAUGUGCUGAGCACACUUACCGGAACAGGCCUACUGGUCCUGUUCUCUUCCACAGCAGAAGUUCAGGAUGCUUCCUUGAGAAUAUCCUGGGCUGCAGAGGUGUGGGCCUCUGCAAUGGACACUUGCAUUUCUUUACCUUGCUCGUUCUAAAGCAAUGCCUUUUCCAAGGGCACUCACUGGCAAGAGCAGAUAAUCUUGAGGUAAAUAUAUAGGAUAAUCAUGUACAUUUGUUUCUCCAUGUACACUUGUUUCUCCACGUACGCCUUAGUCAUUAAGCAUACGAUGAAGUCUAAGAGGCUUGUAAGAAGCAUGAUCUGUGAGAUUUGGUGGGGCAGGUUCAGUUAAAAGUGUUUUAGGCAAAUCCUGUCUUUACUGUUAAUAGACAUUAAACAGAAUAGGUGUGACUAUUAUUUUGGCAACUAUAGACUUAGAUUUCUAAAAUACAAACUGAGAAAAGUAUGUAAAAAGAGAACUGAUUGAACAUAUUAAUUCUUGAGUAUUGUGUUUUGAAUAAUGAUGAUACAAACAAAAAAAAUUCACCAUGAAAAAUGGCUGGCCUCAAUUAGAGAGGUUUGAGAUUACCAUAUAAUCGGUAUAAAAAUUACAGAUAAAAGUACUAAUCAAUUGAUUGUAUGUUGAAAUUUUUAAAAUCACUUAAGGAAAGUAUAUUACAAAUACAUUUUUAAUUUUCUUCUGUAUAUUCUGACUUUUCAUAGUAAAAAUAAAUCCGUAUUUUCAGAUUUUGAUUAUUGAUUCUGGUUUUCACAGAUUUCUGACUUUCAUGAGAGAUAAUAAACUUAUGGGUGUUUGAUUUAUUGAUGUUUAAAUGACAACACAGCUAAUUUUGGUAGUACUUAUUUCAGUAACCUGGCUACUUAUUAGAUUACUCAUUUUCACGUUGGGUUUAAAUUUUUUCAUUCGUUGACAAAGUAGAUAUCUGAAGAAUACCUAGAAAAGAGAACUAUUACUUAGAUGGAAGUAUUGAUAUAAGCCAAAAUGAUUGCUUAUUAUCCUAAAAAUAAAUUUGAAAAUUUGACUUCAUCAAAACUUUAAAAAACUUUUGCUCUGCGAAAGUCUCUUUUAAAAAAAGAUAAAAAGACAAGCUAUAGACUGGGAGAAAAUAUUGGCAAACCACAUAUCUGAAAAAAGAUUUGUAUCUAGAGCAUAUAAAGUACUCUCAAGACCUAAUAAAAAAUAAUUUAAUUAGAAAAUUGGCAAAAGACAUAAGGAAACAUUUUAUCAAAGAGAAGAUAUACGGAUGGUAAAUAAGCACGUGAAAAGAUGGUUAACAUCACUAACUAUUACACACCUGUUAGAAAUGAUAAAAUUUUAAAAAAUAGUGGCAAGGUCAAAUGCUGGGAAGGAUGUGGAGAAACUGAAUCUCAUACAUUGCUGGUGGGAACGUAAAAUGGUGCAGCCACUCUAGAAAACAAUGUGCCAGUUUCUUAAAAAAUGAAACACACACACUCAUCAUACAACCCAGCAAUCGCACUACUGGGCAUUUAUCCCAGAGAAAUGAAAAUUUAGGUCCAUUAAAAACCUGUGCAAGACUCUUCAUAGCAGCUUUAUUUGUAAUAUCCAAAAACUUGAGACAACCAAAAUAUCCAUCAAUAAUUGAAUGGUUAAGCAAACUGUGUUACAUUUAUACCAUGGAAUACAUGGAAUAAAAAGAAAUGAACCAUUGAUAUACACAACAACUUGGAUGGAUCAAGGGCAUUUCGCUGAGUGAAAAAAGCCAAUCACAAAAGGUCACAUAGUGUAUGAUUCCAUUUAUAUAACAUUCUCAGAAUAACAAAAUUAUGGAGAUAGGCAACAGAGUAGUGGGUUACAGGGGUUAGGGACCAUGGAGUAAGGGGAGUGAGUGUGACCGUAAAAGGAUAGCACUAGGGAUCAUCAUUGUGAUGGAAUAGCUCUGUGUCUUGAUUGCUGUGGUGGUUACAUACAUAUAUAUGUGAUAAAAUGUCAUAGAACCGUACACACACAUUAUCCUAAUGUCAGUCUCCAGGUUUUGAUGUUAAACUACAGUUAUAUAAGAUGUAAGCAUUGGGGAAACUUGGUGAAGAGUACACAGAACCUCUCUGUAAUAUGUUUAAUCUUCCUGUAACUAUAUAAUUAUUUCAAAGUAAAAGUUAAAAAAAUAAAUAUGUAGAACCAACAUAGAAAGCCAAGAAUUAGAAGAGGAGACAAUGGAUUUUAAUAAAGCCAGAUGAUAUACCUACUUGCACAGCCUGAAACAGUCUAUUUGUUUAUGCUCCUGGAUAGUAGUUAAGGAAAAAAAUGCUCUCAGUCCUUUAUUAAACAGAGUUAUGCCUAUUUCUUCAUGUCUAAGCAGAUUACAAGUUAGUUUUUCCUGUUCUAGAACUUCAUAGGAAUUGACUCAUAUAGUCUUUUGUGUCUGGCUUCUUUCACUAGCAUAAUGAUUUGGAGGUUCAUCCAUGUUAUGUGUGUCAAUAGUUCAUUCCUUUUUAUUGCUGAAUGUAGUCUAUUGAAUAGAUAUACAAUAAUUUGUUACUCAUGCAUUUGUUGAUCACUAUUUGGGUUGCUUCCAAUUUUUGGAUGUUAGGGCUGUCUGAAUUUUUAUUUUUCAGCCAAUUCUGCUUACAUUACAUUGUAAAAAACAAAACAAAAGAAACAGCAACAGCAACCACUAUAGUAACAAAUCCCCAAACAAAAAGAAAACCCUGUGUCACUUAGGAAUUCUUUUGCUUUUAAGCUAUAGCAUAUUUAAUCUACGGUGGUUUAAGUCAUAAGGACAUUUAUUGUGCCUCAAAAAAAUCUGAAGAUGCAUCCUUUCAGUGUUGGCCCAGUAGCUCAAACGUGUUAUAAGUGACCCAGAUAAUUUUUAUUUUUUGUUCUCUCAUGCUUGGUGUGUUGAUUCUUCUUCUUAUAUUUGUGACCUAUGCUUGCAAGUUGGCUGCAAAAACUCCAGGCCUUAUGUUCCUGUACACAUCAAGAAAAAGGGGGAUAGGGUAGUUCCAGCAUGUUCUCUCCUGUGCCUUUUUAUAAUAAAGAAAAGCUUUGCCAAAGAUCCCCAGCAGACUUACCCUGAUGUCUCUGUGCUCUGAACUAUGCUACCACCAGCUCAAGAACAGCUGGGAAAGGGGGCAAAAUUCUAAGGAUUGCCUUUUCUGAAACAAUCAUAUUUCAUCACUUGGAGCUAAGUCCAUUGCCAAGCCAGACAAAUGAGGGUUCUGUUAGCAGAAAGAUUAAAUGGGAUGGCUGAUAUAAAGGUAACUAAUAGUGUUUUCCACAAUACCUUUCCUUGAUCUCUUUUCAUUAAUUUAUAUUUCUUUCUCAUUUGAGGUAUCUUCUUAACUUCUCUCAUCUCAAGUAUUUUUAAGGAAAUGCAAUUCUUCCAAUGGCACUCUUACAGAUAAGCACAUUCUACUUUAUGAAUAUCUUCAGAGAAUUGUGGUGCCUGUAAUUGGGGAUGGCUCCCUAGAGAGAAACUGUUCCACUCACAGCAUCCAGAAGGAAAAGAUUCAGAAACCAAGUGGCCAUCCCUGAUGUACAGCUGAUUGGACAUGAGUGGGGACUGGGAAGAAAUCGAAAUAAUUUGCUUCUCUCUUCUAAUCAUUCAGGAUGCGACACUGAGAGGCAAUUCCAAAGUCCUAUGUGAAAAUCAUAGAGGAAACUUUUGCAAGAUUUAUCAUGGACACUGAAGAAGAUGAAGAAAAUAUUUUUUGGAAUAGUAGCAUAUUGAUUAAAUAUCAUGUAACUCUCUAAACAUGUGGAUAAUGGCAGAAAAUCAGCUUGACACAGAUAUCUGUGCUUUUGCAGUGCAGCGUACUCAUCAAGCUGACUGCUGAAUUAUUUCAUGAUAAGAUAAUUUUCCUUCAAGUCUAAUACCACAGAGGUCACGUGGUCUGGAGAUAUUCAUGAAGAAACUGUCACUUUCAGGCUCCUAAUAUCAGUCACUCUUCUAUCUAUAUUUGGUUUAUGGAAUCAGGAAAGUGUGAUAGUAGUUAUUAGCUGCUCUCAGAAAAUCCUCUUGCAAGAUAGAUUUAUUUCCUGAUUAAUGAUGGAAAUGAUCCAGUAUUAAUUUCAGUUUUUGAUAUCAACAAUUUUAUGUUAACAUCAUUCUUGCUAUGUUCACCUUUCAAAUUACUAUGAUCAUUCUAAUGAUUAAAAAGCUAUUAUUUGAUUUAGAUUCACUCUGUAAUUAUCAGCUGUAACAUUUUCUGACAUUUCUUACUAAAUUUGAGUACAUGAGGUUGUACUUCAACUAACAAAAGAUUUUCCUAUAGAAGCUUUUUAACAUGCACUCAGGUAAAUUUAAAGCAUAGAAGACCAGGGAAGUAGUAUUAGUCAUAAAUUCUAUCCCAUCUGAAUCUAAUUUUUGGUAGGUGCAGUGGAAUUUGUUUUAUUGCUUUUUUACACUUGAAAUUAGGAUAUCUUAUACAAUCAUUUGUUUGUAUUCAUAGUUUUCUCAAUAUUUAUUUUAUAACAACAAAUUGCAUUUUCCAUUGCUCUAUUUUUUAAGUUGCCUUCUUAGAAAAUAUCUGACCUUUAUAUUCCUUGUUAGUCAUUAUGAUUAAUGAGAGUUACAGCUUUUAAUUGCAGCAUAAGAAAAAUACUAUCAGUGCCCGAAGAAUGUAACAAUUACCUUAAUACUUCUCUUUUUUGGACGUGUUCUUAUGAAGCAAAUCAGUGAAAGCAGCCAACAAUUUAAAAACUAGAAAGUACUAUACAAGAUUUCAUAUUCCCUUUUGCUUAGUGAAUUCUGUAAGUGUGAAAGGCAAAUGUUUGUGAAAAAUCUUCAAGUAUAUACAAAUCUUUACUUACUGGGUUUUAUAUGUUUUAUAUUAUAUUGCUGGUCUUUUUUGGUAAUGCCAUAAAAUUUGUCUCCAAUAAAGUAUCUCUUCUCUUUUGGUCAUUUUGUUAGGGUGGAUUUAAUUAAAAAAUGUGUUUCUUUUGUUCCAAAAAUCUGAAGACGGCAAAUAAUAUGACUGCUUAUUAAUAUCUUUGGGUCAUUUGCACUUUACCAAUAUUUUAAUGUUGGGGCUAUUUCUUUUGAAUUUUCACAUUCUGCCUUUAAUGCAUUAACUAUAUCAUCUACAGUGAAUCUUCCUUACGGGAACAUCUGGGUUAACAUUGAUACUUACUCUGCUUUUAUAUUGGAUAAUCAUUGAAUUGAGAAUUUGAAAGUUAAUUAAUGAAGUUCCUUUGAGGUCAGUCUGUGUCUUGUGAUUAGAUGUCCUUAAAGAAGCAAGGAACUAGAUAAGAAAUUGCAAUGGCAUUGAAAUUUAGGAGCAGAAAAUAUAUUUUGUGAAUUUUUUUCUCUAACGGUAUUUCUGCACAGCAGCAAAUGAGUGUGCCACCAAUAAUUGCCCUUGGUUUGACUCAAUGGGAUCAGCGCCACAGUUGAUAACCCCUGAAAUGUCCUCUGAAUAUUACCAUGGGAAAUCAUUUCUUAAGAUGGAAACUGGUCUCCAUACGAGAUCAAAAAACCUUUAUUUAAAAAAAAAAGUGUUACAUUAAAGAAAAUUUUCCAUUCAAGAGCAGGGAAGGUCAAACAUACUCUGCUAUAUUCGAACAUACGUUUAAUCCCUUUAUAGAUUUCAAAAGAAAGCGAAAAUAGUAAUUUGGAUCACACCAUAGAGGACAAUUUUUAAAAAAUGCUUAUUUAGUAAAAACAUCAUUCAAUAUUCAGAAUUCUCUUUAGAGUUGAUUAAUUUCUAAAGUUCAGAUCCAGUAGACAUUAUCCAUCCUCUUACAUUACACCCAGUUUAUUGACUCAAAAGAAUGGAAUUGGAAAUGAUUGCAAAAGGUUCAUAAACUUUAAUAGAUGAUAAGCUACUUACUGUUAGAGGCAACCCCGAGAAUCAGUUUCCAGAUUCUUAGCCAAGUGUUCUAUUACAAAAUGCCGUUUUGACUCCUUCUAACCUAUCCCUCACAAAAACUUUCGUGAUUGUUGAACACAGUCCCUGAAUUUUGUUUUUAGUCAUUAUCAUCUAUUGUUAGAAAAUGCAUUUAAUGUUAAAUUCCUCGUGAUGCAACCUAUGCUCUUUUUCAAAAAACUUUACAAAUAUUGACAAUUAGCAUAAACUUAAAUAUCUUCUUUUAAUCUAAGUGAUAUUCUAAUACUUUAUGAUGCUAAAUUUGGGUCACAUUGCUUUUAUUUUGUGGAAUCUUGAAAUUAAUAUGGAAAUGUUAUUUAAUAAUUUUAAGUAUAAAAUAUUUUAUUCCUCUUUUUCUGUCUUUGUAAAAUAGGUGUAAUAUAGGAAAUAAACAGCUCCAUAUAUAAUGCUUAUGGUAACAAAUACGUUACAUAUAUGUCUUUUUAUUUAAUCUCUAGAGCAUACUCUGGUUUAUGGAUUUUUCUUUUUAAUUUUGCUGCUUCCCAUUGGCAACAAUAUGUUACAGGUUUUUAUUCAUUUCAAAUAAAUUCAUUUCAUUCCACCAAAAUUUUUUCUUAGUCCACACCUCGUACUUUUUCAGGUUAACACUCUAUCUAGAAAGCAUUCCCCCCACUUUACAUAAAUCCAGUUUCCUUGCCAAUUACCACAUUAACCUUUACAGAAAACAUACCAAUAUUGGCUCCUCUGAUGAUUCUUUCCUGUUCUCAGAAUCCACGUGCUCCAUUUAUACCAUGUUACUUUGUGCAGCUAGUAAUUUGUUUUUGUUUUUGUUUUUCUGUGAGGAAGACUGGCCCUGAGCUAACACCUGUGCCAAUCUUCCUCUGUUUUAUGUGGGAUGUUUUAUCUGGGAUCCGAACCUGGCGAACUCUGGGCUUCUGGAGCAGAGCGUGCAAACUCAACCACCACGCCACCAGGCAGGCCCCUAGUAAUGUUUUUUACGUGCAUUCUUUUCUUCAGAUCUGAAAGAGUACCUUAUCUGGCUUCCAUCUUUUCAACUGGAUUGUAAACUUUAAAUUGAAGAGUCACAUCUUUGUAUUAGUUUCUCUAUUUCAUUUCUCCAUAUCUGUCCUCCUGUUACUUGUUUGGUACUCAAAAUGGUUGACUUUUCGGUCUACUAAGAUGUAACUAGGAAUUUCUCAUUGUAGAUCACUGUUUUCUA